rnacentral:rRNA from 1 species
AUACGGAGGAUCCAAGCGUUAUCCGGAAUCAUUGGGUUUAAAGGGUCCGUAGGUGGAUAAUUAAGUCAGAGGUGAAAUCCUGCAGCUCAACUGUAGCAUUUCCUUUGAUACUGGUUAUCUUGAGUUAUUAUGAAGUAGUUAGAAUAUGUAGUGUAGCGGUGAAAUGCAUAGAUAGUACAUAGAAUACCGAUUGCGAAGGCAGAUUACUAAUAAUAUACUGACACUGAGGGACGAAAGCGUGGGGAGCGAACAGGAUUAGAUACCCUGGUAGUCC